GACGAACGCUGGCGGCGUGCCUAAUACAUGCGAGUCGAACGAGAGCGACCGGUGCUUGCACUGGUCAAUCUAGUGGCGAACGGGUGAGUAACACGUGGGUAACCUGCCCAUCAGAGGGGGAUAACAUCCGGAAACGGAUGCUAAAACCGCAUAGGUCUUCGAACCGCAUGGUUUGAAGAGGAAAAGAGGCGCAAGCUUCUGCUGAUGGAUGGACCCGCGGUGCAUUAGCUAGUUGGUGAGGUAACGGCUCACCAAGGCCGUGAUGCAUAGCCGACCUGAGAGGGUGAUCGGCCACAUUGGGACUGAGACACGGCCCAAACUCCUACGGGAGGCAGCAGUAGGGAAUCUUCCGCAAUGGACGCAAGUCUGACGGAGCAACGCCGCGUGAGUGAAGAAGGUUUUCGGAUCGUAAAACUCUGUUGUUAGAGAAGAACAAGUGCUAGAGUAACUGUUAGCGCCUUGACGGUAGCUAACCAGAAAGCCACGGCUAACUACGUG
rnacentral:rRNA from 1 species